rnacentral:lncRNA from 1 species
AUCUGUGUGUUUUCUUUUAGUUUUUCUGGAAUUCAUUAUUCUUCCUUUGCAUUGUUCAUUGUUCUUCUUUUGCUAGUGCAAUCUGAAUCAGUCCUGUGAGAAACGCGCACGUAGUGGCGUUUCCCGACGAAACAGUGGACCGAGUUUAGAGAAGAUCAAUUGGAGAAACGACAUCAGUUUUUUUUCUCGCGAAUUACAAAGAGGUUAGCGUUUUCCGACGACCUAAAUCUGUUUCUGUACGGUGUUCAGUGGCGAGAUAGGUGACUGGAUCAUUUGUGGACCUCUACUCUUGGCGUUUUCCGUGCGUGAGUCACCGUUGUUUCGUUUUCUUGGAGCAAGUUGGCGAAGUGUAAUCGGAGGAACGAUGCGGUGUGGUUUUUCUCACCGACGAUUUUACGACGAGAUAACUUUGUCUUCUCAAAUGCAGAACAAUUUUCGGUAACGACUUGUUGCAACAAAGCUUUCCUUUCCGCGAUUUUCCGAUUUCACGAUAUCAACUAAGAACAGUGCGUUUAUGCUAUUGCAAUUUUCAUUUUGUAAGGUGCUUCUUUUUUUACCAAAUCAGAGUAGUUUUUUUUACCAAUUCUUUGAUUUCGGUGGAGAGCUGAUUUUUACUGCUGCCACUGUUUAGUGCGAAACGAUGCUGCAAAUUUGAGUGCCAACGUGAAUUGAGGAGCUUGAUUUAGCAAUUGAAAAUUCAAAGUUCAAACAUAAUAUAUACUGAGUAUAAGACAUUCCUCCAGCAUUUAGGAGGGAAGUUAACUUACUCUCUUAUCCCACAGUCACAAGAAAAGGAUUUGACUAUGAACCUAGACAUGGAUAAGCCUGUGUCACUGUCAACAUAAGUAGAGAGAUAUUUUUUCGUAACUACUCCCAAAACACCAUCUCCUAGUGCACAAUGCUAACUCAAGCAAUGAAACAUCAUUGUAGGUACUCCCCACUGCUGCUCGUUUCUGCACAUGGUGCACCCAUCCUUCACCAUCAUUCAUUCGCGAAUCAGGUCAGUCCUAACUUGGAACUUGGAUUGAACACUGUGCAUGACGAGAAUAGAAGUAAUCAAACACCUAACUUGGUUAUUGAUUGGUUUUCAUUUUCUUUACUCGCUUCCUUUUUAACAAUGUUAAAAUUGUUAACAUGUCAUAGGUUAUGAAAAGGAAUUAAAUUAAAAUUAAAGAAAAGGAACGAAAGCCCCUUUUUAAUACCUUAGAUUGUUCUUUUGCGUGGUCCAUUAACUAAAGUUUUCAUAUAUUCUCUGAAUGAAGGAUGUGAUAAUGGCUGAAUUGCAUAAUACACCUACAAGGUAUUUUUUCACCCAAAUAUAAUAAACCAUAUAUGAAUAAAACCCUAAGAUAAAUCCUAUUUAGAUAUAUGGUCUUACUAAAAUAAAAAGUUCCUUAAACCAGAUUUCUUAUCAAAGAUAAAAAAAACCAUAAAAAUAAGAAAUAUAUUAAUAUCUUAAAUAACAAUUAUCAUGAAAUUCAUAUAUU